CCUACGGGGUGCAGCAGUGGGGAAUAUUGGACAAUGGGCGAAAGCCUGAUCCAGCCAUGCCGCGUGUGUGAAGAAGGCCUUCGGGUUGUAAAGCACUUUCAGUGGGGAAGAAAGCCUUGGGGCUAAUACCCUCGAGGAAGGACAUCACCCACAGAAGAAGCACCGGCUAACUCCGUGCCAGCAGCCGCGGUAAUACGGAGGGUGCGAGCGUUAAUCGGAAUUACUGGGCGUAAAGCGCGCGUAGGCGGUCUGAUAAGCCGGUUGUGAAAGCCCCGGGCUCAACCUGGGAACGGCAUCCGGAACUGUCAGGCUAGAGUGCAGGAGAGGAAGGUAGAAUUCCCGGUGUAGCGGUGAAAUGCGUAGAGAUCGGGAGGAAUACCAGUGGCGAAGGCGGCCUUCUGGACUGACACUGACGCUGAGGUGCGAAAGCGUGGGUAGCAAACAGGAUUAGAUACCCGGGUAGC
rnacentral:rRNA from 1 species